rnacentral:tRNA from 1 species
GCCCACAUAGCUCAGUUGGUAGAGCGCAUCCUUGGUAAGGAUGAGGUCACCGGUUCGACUCCGGUUGUGGGCU